UACGUAGGGUCCGAGCGUUGUCCGGAAUUACUGGGCGUAAAGAGCUCGUAGGUGGUUUGUCGCGUUGUUCGUGAAAACUCACAGCUUAACUGUGGGCGUGCGGGCGAUACGGGCAGACUUGAGUACUGCAGGGGAGACUGGAAUUCCUGGUGUAGCGGUGAAAUGCGCAGAUAUCAGGAGGAACACCGGUGGCGAAGGCGGGUCUCUGGGCAGUAACUGACGCUGAGGAACGAAAGCGUGGGUAGCAAACAGG
rnacentral:rRNA from 1 species